rnacentral:rRNA from 1 species
AUACGGAGGGUGCAAGCGUUAUUGGGAAUCACUGGGCGUAAAGGACGCGUAGGCGGGUUGGCAAGUCAGAUGAGAAAUCCUACAGCUUAACUGUAGAACUGCAUUUGAAACUGCUAACCUAGAGUAUGGGAGGGGGAGAUGGAAUUAGUGGUGUAGGGGUAAAAUCCGUAGAUAUCACUAGGAAUACCGAAAGCGAAGGCGAUCUCCUGGAACAUAACUGACGCUAAGGCGUGAAAGCGUGGGGAGCAAACAGGAUUAGAUACCCUAGUAGUCC